GCCAAGACUGCGGGAAAGGCACGCGUUCAGCAAGCACCUUGUAAACUGCAGCUCUCAGGAAGCAAGCUUGGGCUCACAGGAUCCAGCAGGACCGCAGACAGCUGAGGGCGCCCAGAAGCUGAGGUGCCCAGAGCAGGGACAGCGCCCCCUGCUGCCGGAGCACCCGGGCCGGAGAACACGGCGGCUUCAGUCUGAGCCCCACCUCCCCUGUUACCAGGCACCGCCCCAAGGAACCGCCCCAGCCUAGGGGAUUCUGAUUGGCUGCACCUUCUGUGACGUCGCGCGGCCGGCUGCGGCCACUGUCCAAUCAGGCACGUCAGGGCGACCCUGCGGAGCCCCGCGGGAUCUUUCUUUGUGGCAGCGCUGGGAGGGGUCCCCGGGGCUGCUGCUGAGCGGGCUCGGGUGCCUCAGGGGCUGCGCUGUGUGACCUUCCUGCACCGCAGGAGCCGCCCAAGGACCCCAGAAUGCCGCGGAAGCGAGGAAAUGGUAGAGUGGACAGUGAGAGAGAGAGAGAGAGAGAAAGGUCUUCCUUUGCCGUUGGUUCACCUUCCAAUGGCCGCCGGGGCCGGAGCACUGCGGCUGGUGCAUCGCGCUGAUCCGAAGCCAGGAGCCAGGUGCUUUUCCUGGUCUCCCAUGCGGCUGCAGGGCCCAAGGACGUCAUUCUCCACUGCACACCCAGGCCACAGCAGAGAGCUGGCCCUGGAAGAGGGGCAACCGGGACAGAAUCCGGCUCCCCGACCGGGACUAGAACCCAGUGUGCCAGCGCCGCAAGGCGGAGGAUUAGCCUGUUGAGCUGCGGCGCCGGCCCCAAUUUCUUGGUUUUUAUAAGAUUUCAGUGUAACCACUGGGGUUUGGAAUUUUCCACACAGUAAAUUGAGACAUUUUGGAUGUUAGAGUCAAGAGUAUUGUAUCAAACACUAUAAGUUUCCUGAUUUAAGUUCCUCCAAUUAUUCUGUAUUCUUUUAAAUUGUAAAUUUGGGCUAUUUUUAUGAACAUAAAUAUACUUGUGAUUUCACUUUUUUCUUUUACUACCAAAUUGAUCAUUUCCAUUUCCAGCAAUCAAAAUAUAGCAUAUAUCAAGAACUGUACACAUUACUAUGAUUUUUAUUCCUAUCACUUAGGUUUUUUUCCAUUGGCCGUGUAGCUUGUGCCAGUCUCAGCACAAGUUGCCUAUGGCCCACUUGGUUUAUGUUAUCUUUCUAAUGUAAUCAACUGUUUGUAAAUUCUAACAGUUUUUUCAUAAUGUUCGUGCUGAAAAUUGCACGGAAUCAUCUAGCAUCAGUGUCAUCACUCUCCUUUGCAGGUCAUAUGUUUUAUUGUUUUGUGAACUCUGUUGGAACUCUACAUUUACCUUUGAUUUUGGAAAUUUUCGAAAGUCAAUUAUUUAAAUCCGUGUUAUUUCUCAAAUGUAUUCUGCCAAGGUACUUGAAAUAUUCUUGACUUAACUUGUGUUGACAUUAUUAUCUUGGGUAACUUUAUAUGUGAAGGUCUAUUUUCCACAUAAUUCCUGUAUACUGUUUUGUCACUAACAUUGCUUCACUUCUCCCAAUAGCAAAAUGCAUGCCAUGAUAGUCCUGAAAACAUUUGCUCAUCCUAGCCAGCAUUUUCAUUUUGAAAUCAUAAAGUUGUUUACAUUUCUCCAAGUUGUGUUGCUCCUUCCCUGUACAUUAUUUUGCAAAAUUAUGUCACCAAAGUGGAUACUUUCAGGUAUUCAUGUUAGUGUAAUAUCUUUCUAUUUUCUUAUUUUUUGUGGUACUCAAAAUUAAACAUUAUCUAUAAAAAUUUCCUCAGUCAAGGUUUUGUAUGUUAGCUAAGAUAUUAAAUAUUAGGCAGCAUGAUCUUUUCUUGCUUUAAGCUACUGAAAUUUUGUAUAUUAGAUUUAAAUGCAACUUUAAGAUUUUAUUCAUUAUAACCUUUUUGCAUGAUUGUGACUCUAUUAUUGAUUCUACCAAAUCACUAAUUUCUACACCCUGUAAUCAAAAUUAAAUGCCUUAGAAUUUAUUACUAUCACCUAAAAAUGUAAUUAAUAACUUGGAUUUUUACAAUCAUAACACAGAAAAACUAUGAAUAUCAUGGUUUGCUUUAUCAUUGAGUGGUCAUCAACCUGCUCUAAAUGGUAAAAGUUGUCCUAAUGCUAUCAGGUUUAGUGGAUCUGAGCACAUUUUAGGGACAGCAGCUUUAUUCUCAUCAGCAGGGGGUAUAUUGUUUAUUUUUCUGGAUGUUCCUGGAACUGUUAAUUAACUUUGAUCUUGGAAAGUUUCCAAAGCCCAUUUGUCUGUCAUUCUGUAAUUUUUCAAGUUUAUUAUGGACUCUUUUCUACCAAAUAACAAUCUAUAUAUUUGUCUUUUACUCAUGGCUCACAUUAAAAUACUCAUUCUUUCUAACAGCAAUUUAAGCAUGAUGUUUUUUAAAGAUUUACUUUAUUUAUUUGAAAGACAGAGUUACAGUGAGAGGUAGAGACACAGAGAGAGAUCUUCCAUCCACUGGUUCACUCCCCAGAUGGGCACAAUGGCCAGAGCUGUGCUGAUCUGAAGCCAGGAGCCAGGAGCUUCCUCCAAGUCUCCCACGCAGGUGCAGGGGCCCAAGGACUUGGGCCAUCUUCUACUGCUUUCUCAGGCCAUAGCAGAGAGCUGGAUCGGAAGUGGAGCAGCUGGGACUCGAAUCGGCGCCCAUAUGGGAUGCUGGCAUUGCAGGCGUCAGCUUUACCCACUACGCCACAGCGCCAACCCCUAGGCCAGGGCUUUAACCCACUGUACCACAGCACUGGCCCCUCUAGCAAUAUUUUACCCGGCUAUGUGCACCAGAUUUCUAUUUUUUGUCUUGUCUUUCAUUUUAUUACUUUCAACUGUGUGUAUCAUCAAUAUCCAUGUGGAAGCCAAUCUUAGCACUGUAAACUUAUGGUCAUUCUUUUGGAUAUUUACAUUAUAAUGUCAUGAAUUCACUCAAAAUUGUUGAAAUUGUCCUAGCAACCUCCAUUGUUGUGGUCUUUAAAUAACUUUUAGACAGUACACACACAUUACUGAGGACACAUAUUUGAUUUACAGUUUCAUUCUUUUUAGAGUCUCAAAAUUGAUCAUUCACCUUAAAAUUUCCAUUCAUUUGAUUGACAGUGCUGUCUAAGCUUUAAGAUUAUUAAACUGCAUGAGAUUUCCUUGUAUUUUUUCAUAUUUUAAACCGUAGUUUUACUACGAUUUUAAUCUCUAUUAUACCUCCAUGUGCUGCUAUUUCUGAAUCUACCAAAUUUCCCAUUGGUACAGCCAGUAGUCAGAAUACAAUGUAUAUGGAAAGGCACACAUUUUUUUAUAUUUUUCAUGUUGCAUUUGAAUUUAUUAUAACCAUCAGAAAAAAGUCAAUAACCUAAUUUAUGCCAAUUCUAGCACCAAAAACUUCAGGAAGACUUGAUUUGCUUUAUCAAUGUUUGGAAAUAAAUUUUCUAAAAUCUGGAACUUGUCCAAGCAAAUUUUAGUUCACAGUAUCUGAGUAUAAUCUUGGGUCAGGUCCAUCACUCUCAUUAGCAGGGGACUUUUUGUUUUGUUUUGCUUUAGAUUUUAAGGACUUUUAGGGAACUUGAUAUUGUUUCAUUUUGGAAAUUUAAUGUUUUGUUUCAUCUUUGAAUUAAUGGAGCUCACUUUUUUCACUAAUCAUCUAUUCUAGACCAUUCCCAGCUCUAUGAACGGGUGGCCAUGAUGAUUUAAAUUUUCAUUGUGAGAUCAUCAUCACCCCCAGCAUUCUAUAGGUGUCCUGGAAACCUAUGUACAUAGUGUCUUAGUGCUAUGCUAGCCAAGGUUAAUCAUUCUCUCUCCUCAAGAUGCCCUUGCUGCUAUGAAAUCUGAACAUGAGUAUAAUGAUCAAGUGGAACAACUGGCUAAAAUUGCAUCUAAUAAAAAAAAUCAAAAAGAAGAGGACUAUUCUCUGGCAAAAUACGUAUGCCAUCAAUCAGCCUACAUAGAAGCACAAGCUAUGCACAGCUUUCUGCGGUGUCCUGGGAAAGUAGUGGAAGAUGGCCCAUGUCCUUGGGCUCCUGCACCUGCGUGGGAGACCCAGAAGAAGCUCAUGGCUCCUGGCUUCAGAUUGGUGCAGCACUGGCCAUUGCUGCCAUUUGGGAGUGAACCAUCGGAUGGAAGACCUCUCUCUUUCUCUCUGCCUCUCCUCUGUGUAACUCUGCCUUUCAAAUAAAUAAAUAAAUCUUAAAAAAAAGAAAAACAAAAAUUGUCUCUUAAGUCCUUGACCCAUCUCUUAAGUGGGUUGUUUUGUUGUUGUGCAGUUUCUUGAUCUCUUUGUAGAUUUCUGGUUAUUAAUCCUUUAUCAGUGGCAUACUUUGCAAAUAUUAUCUCUCAUUCUGUCAGUUGCCUCUUUACUUUUAUGGCUGAUUCUUUUGUAGUACAGAAACUUCUCAAUUUAAUGCAGUCCCAGUUGUUUGAUUUUCUAUACCUCUGGGAUAUUUUCAAAGAAGUUUUUAUCUGGGUCUAUAUUUUGGAGGGUUUUUCCUAUGUUCUCUAAUAAUUUGAUGGUGUCAAUUCAUAGAUCUAGAUCUUUAAUCCAUGUUGAGUGGAUUUUUGUUUAAGGUGUACAGUAGGCAUCUUGCUUCAUGCUUCUGCAUGGGAAAUCCAGUUUUCCCAUCCCAUUUGUGGAAUAGGCUUUCCUUGCUCCAGGAAUUGGUUUUAGUUCCUUGAUCAAAUAUAAGGUGGUUGUAGAUGUUUGGAUUGAUUUCUGUUCUUCCUAUUCUAUUCCAUUGGCCUAUUCAUCUGUUUCUGUACCAGUGCCAUGCUGUUUUGAUUAUAACUGCACUGUAGUAUGUCUUGAGAUCUCAUAUUGUGAUGCUUCCAUCUCUGUUUUUGUUGUCCAAGAUUGCUUUAGCUAUUCAAGGUAUCCUGUGUCUCCAUAUGAAUUUCAGCAUCAUUUUUUCCAGAUCUGAGAAGAAUGUCUUUGGUAUUUUGAUUGUCAUUGCAUUUAAUCUGUAAAUUGCUUUUGGAAGAAUGGACAUUUGGAUGAUAUUGAUUCUUCCAAUCCAUGAGCAUGGAAGAUUUUUCCAUUUUUUGGUAUCCUCUUCUAUUUCUUUAAGAUUUUGUAAUUCUCAUCAUAGAGAUCUUUGAUGUCCUUGGUUAAGUUUAUUCCAAGGUAUUUGAUUGUUUUUGUAGCUAUUGUGAAUGGGAUUGAUCUUAGAAGUUCUUUCUCAGCUGUCACAUUGCCUGUGUAUACAAAUGUUGGUUUCUGUGCAUUGAUUUUAUAUCUUUCUCCCUUCCCAAACUAUUUUAUGAGUUUGAAUAUUCUCUUAGUGGAAUUCUUUUGAUCCACUAAAUAAGGAAUCUCAUCAUCUGCAAUGAAGGAUCAUUUGACUUCUUUCUUCCUAAUUUGUAUCCCUUUGAUUUUUCUUGCCUAAUGGCUCUGGCUAAAACUUCCAGUACUAUAUUAAAUAGCAGUGGUGAGAGUGGACAUCCCUGUCUGGUACCAGAUCUCAGUGAAAUGCUUCCAACUUUUCCCCAGUCAAUAGGAUUCUGGCUGUAGGUUUUUCAUAAAUUGCCUUGAUUGUGUUGACGAAUGUUCCUUCUAGAUUGAAUUUGUUUAGAGUUUUCAUCAUGAAAUGGCGUUGCAUUUUAUCAAAUGCUUUCACUGCAUCUGUUGAGAUAAUCAUAUGGUUUUUCUUCUGCAUUUUGUUAAUGUGGUAUAUCUUAUUGAUUUGUGAACAUUGAACUAUCCCUGCAGUCCAGGGAUAAAUAUCACUUGGUCUGGGUGGAUGAUUCGAUUAGCCUGAAUUUUAUUGAGGAUUUUUGCUUCUAUGUUCAUUAGGGAAACUGAUCUGUAAUUCUCUUUCUCUGCUGCAUCUUUUUCAGGUUUAGGAAUUAAGGUGAUGCUGGCUUCAUAGAAAGAAUUUGGGAGGAUUCCCUCUCUUUCAAUUGUUUUGAAUACUUUGAGAAGGAUUGCAGUCACUUUUUCUUUAAAUGUCUGGUAGAAUUCAGCAGUGAAUCCAUCUGGUUCUGGCUUUUCUUUGUUGGGAGAGCCUUUAUUACUGACUCAAUUUCUGACUCGACUAUGGAUCUGUUUAGGUUUUCUAUGUAUUCCUGGUUCUAGUUAGGUAGGUUGUAUGUGUCCAGGAAUCUAUCCAUUUCUGCUAGAUUUUCCAGUUUGUUGGCAUACAACUCUUUGUAGUAAUUUCUGAUGAUUCUUUUUUUUCUGUGGUGUCUAUUGUUAAGUUCCCCUUUUCAUCUCUAAUUUUAUUGAUUUGGGGCUUCUCUCUCCUUUUUUUGUUAGUUGGGUCAAUGGUGUGUCAAUUUUGUUUAUGUUUUCAAAAAGAAAACAGCUCUUCAUUUUGCUGACCUUUUGUAAUGUUUUAUUUGGGAUUCAAUUUUGUUGAUUUCUUCUUUAAUUUUAAUUAUUCUAUUCUCCUACUAGUUUUGCUUUUGGUUUGCUGUGGUUUUUCUCGAUCCUUCAGAGGCACUGAAAGCUCAUUUAUUUGGCGCCUUUCCAAUUUCUGAUGUAGGCACCUAUUGCUUUAAGCUUGCCUCUUAACAUUGCUUUUGCUGUAUCCCAUAAGUUUUCAUAUGUUGUGUUGUGAUCUUCAUUUGCUUUCAGAAAGCAUUUGAUUUCUUCUAUGACCCAAUGUUCAUUCAGGAGCAUGUUGUUCAGUUUCCAUAUGUUUGCAUAUGAUCUGAAGAUUCCUGAGUUUUUGUAUGAAAAUCUGGUAAGCAAGAUGGUAAGCAAUCUUUUUUAUUUUGUUUCCUGUUGGCAUGGAAUAUCUUUUUCCAACCUUUCAUUUUAAGUCUGCAUGCACCUUUGUUGGAAAGAUGUGUUUUUUGUAAGCAGCAAAUAGAUGGGUUUGGUUUUUUAAUCCGUUCAGCCAGUCAGGGCCUUUUAACUGGAGAGUUGAGGCCAUUUGCAUUCAUUGUGACUAUUGAUAUGUUGUGACUUUUCCCUGCCAUUUUCCAAUGAUAUUUCUAAUUUAUGCUUUGAACUUCCUCUGAUCUUUUACUGAGAGAUUUUCUUUCUUUACCUUCUUUUGUAUUGAUGACUGUGUUUUUGUGUUUCUCUGUGUAACACAUCUUUAAGCACCUUUGCAGGGCUGGAUGAGUGGUGACAAAUUCUUUCAAUUUCUGUUUGCUAUGAAAGGUCUUUAUUUCACCUUCAUUCACAAAUGAGAGCUUUGCAGGAUAUAAUAUUCUGGGGUGGGAGUUUUUUUCUCUUAGUACUUGGGCUAUAUAUCACCAUUCUAUCCUACCCCGUAGGGUUUCUGAUGAGAAGUCUGCUGUGAGUCUAAUUGGAGAUCCUCUGGAAGUAAUCUGGCGUUUCUCUCUUGCACAUUUUAGAAUCUUUUCUUUAUGUUUCAUUGUCAUGAGUUUGAUUACAACGUGUCGUGGUGAGGAUCUUUUCUGGUCAUGUCUAUUGGGAGAUCUGUGUGCUUCCUGUACUUGGAUGUCUCUUUCUUUCUCCAAACCUGGGAAGUUUUCUGCUAGUAUCACACUAAAAAGGCCUUCUAAUCCUUCUCUCCAUGCCUUCAGGAACUCCUAGAACCCAAAUGUUCGGUUUUUAAUAGUAUCCUGUAGAUUCUCAACAAUAUUUUUUAGAUUUCUAAUUUCCUCUUCUUGUCUUUGGUUUGACUGUAUACUUUGCUCUGUCUUCUAAGUCCAGUAUUCUCUCUUCUGCCCCACUGAUUCCGUUUUUAAGGCUCUUAAUUGCAUUUUUAUUUGUUUUCUUGAAUUCUUCAUUUCAUUUUGAUUUCUCUUCAAUAUCUCAAUUUCAUGUUCUAUUGAAUUCUUCUUUUCAUUUUUAUUCCUUCUUAGGAUUUCAUUUUCAUGAGAGAGAUUUUCUUUCAUGUCCUGCAGGGAUUUCAGUAGUUCGUGUGUUUGCUUUUGAUUACUUCUAUGUAUUCCUAUCAUCAUUUUUUUGAAUUCCAUUUCUUGCAUCUCAUCAUCUUCAUAAUCUUGUAUUGAAGUUUCUUGUUCUUUUUGAAGCGUCAUGUCGUCUUUCAUAUUCUUGUUUCUUGGGUUGUUGCAUUUGUUGUUUGGCAUUUGUGGAGAUUCUUGUUGGUUUCUUCUUUUUUUUUCCCAUUGUGGUGGAUUUAUCAUUGUACUAUGACUCUAUAGAUAAGUGGACUGUCUGCUCUCCGUGAAUCUCUAGGAGCUUGUGGAGAGUGUGACCAGAGAGCUCUCUUCAAUUCUUCAGCGUUAAGGGUGUGUCUAAGGUGAUACACCCUGGUUAGGCAUAGUAAAUCUUCUCUUUCUUUUUGUUUAGUCAGAGGGGAAGUAAUUCUGCUCAGCUGAGCUCUUUUCGAUGGCGAUCAGUGCCUGAGUUUUAGCCUCAGUGGUCUAAUAUUAAUCUGCUGUGUCCCAAGGACCACACAAAAGAUCUGUUCAGUCCUCAGUGUAUGUUCAGAUUCCCCAGCAAUGUCUUUCACUGAGUAACCAGGACCGCCCAAGCUUGUAGCAUCUCCCUCCUAGACUACUAAAAGUCUCGGCCACACCAUGAGUUCUCCCACCUACCCUCAGUUUUUUUUUCCAUAGUCCCGGUUCAGAAGCUUCACACAAUCACAAGUUUCUAGCCACCUGUCAUUUCUCCCCACCACAGUCAGGAGUCUCCACUCAGCUGAUUGCCAGGAGCAGACACGAGCUGGUGCAGCUGUUACAUAUGUCUAAAAUGGUGCCUGCUCUGUUGGCUUGUACACAUUUAUAAGGUGAUUGGAGAGAGAGAGACGCGCCCAUACUAUCACUUUUAUUUUUUUCUCUCCUCUAGUUAGGCUGGUAUACUUUACCCCACAGGGCUUCAAGCCUCGUUUCCUCUAGGCUCCUUCUGCUGCUUUUUCACCAGUGUCUCAGGCUACUGCGGUCUCCUCUCACCUCUCUUUCCAGUGCUGGUGCAGAGGCUCUCGGCUUUUGGAGUCCUGAGCUGUAGGUGCCCACACCCUCCAUGUAGGUCCACCGUGUCUCUCUAAUUUCAGAAGAGUUUCCUCUUCUGGUUUUUUUCCCUAACUCUUCCCUGAGACUACACUAUCUCCAUUUUUAUAAACUAUCUUCUUUUGGACUAGAUCCAUUAGCUCCCUCCCUAUUCUGCCAUCUUGGAACCACCCCUCCCACUUUCCUCUUAAGAUUGAAAGAACAUAUCUUACAUCUCCCAGAUAGUAGGUGGUGAUAGGCUACCCUCAUCCUUCUUUGAUGGCCCUUUCUCUCCAUUGAGGUCUCACAGGGAUCCUCCACGUAGGAUUUUUUUUUUGCCACAAAGUCUUGGCUUUCCAUGCCUGAAAUGGGAGCUUCCAUCUUGGAAUGGAAGUCUCACUCUCUGCAGCAGGAAGUGGAGGAUAUGCCAUAUUUAAUGUUCCACAUCCCUGAUGCUAACACAUUACUAGGCAAAUAAACCAGUUCUCCAGAUCAAAAUUUACAAUUAAGAGCAUGCUUGAUUUGAAAAUCAAAGACCCCAAGGCAAAGCAGAAUUUUCAAUAUCCUUGGAACCAGUCCAUAAAAUAAAGACUUUCUAAAUUCUCAAUCUUAGAUAAUUGUCUUUAAAACACAUUACAAACAACUUAGAAACUUGAAACUAGCAUCCUAUGAAAAUCCUUCUCAUCUCUCUCCCCAAGUUCCAUUAGCACUAACAGCAUGUUUUCAAAACAAGAAACAGAAAAAGAAAUCAAUCCAUGCUUCUUCCAAACGUUACCAGUGCCAAGACUCAAAGACAAACCAUCUAAGUUAAUCACUGUUUGCCCAUUUUGGAUGAAAAUGCUAGCCAAAAUGGCUGUGGUUUCUUGGGAAGGGCAAGGCUAGUUGGAGCUGCAAGCCAUGCAGUGGCUGCCACUGUGCUGAGCACAUGAGCAAGGUUCUCUCCCCACCCCAGUAGAAUUUCAUAUAUGAGAGAAGCCAGUGUGCAUCCAGGGCAGGCCAGUGAAGCACGCAGAGCAGGUAGAACAUGUCCAGCAGACCUGAGAUGAUCAGUUACAUUGGUGGGAAGGAUGAGAGGCUUCUAACCCCAACUCAGCUAUUUCAGUUCCCUCCCAUCCCCCAGGGUUGCACCCAGCAUGACGCCUAGGCCAUGAGCUACUGGAGCAAGGCAGGGGGCGAGAAAGCACAGCCAGCAAGGUCAGAGACGUGCACACUCACUGAUCCAGGUUCAGUGCCCAUGCAAGAGUUGAAAACUGCCCCUUACUCCAGCCUAGGAAGGAUGUGCAAGGUAGUUUCUUUACCUGAUUUAACGGGAAACCACUAACACAGAAGGUGGAGGAAGAGGAGUGCAAGAAGAUGAAUAGGGUUAGAAACCAUGGGAAGCCAGCUCUUAUGUUGCUGUUUUUUUUCCUUUUAAACCAAUCAAUAUUAAAAAUUUUGGGGAGUCCCUCCAUUAUAGAGGGUCCCAUCUGGGUUGGCAUUAUGAUACAGUCCUGUUUAUUAAUAAUUUCCAGUAUUAAUAAGCCUGUGGGCUCUUGCCAUGUAUUCAAAGAAGAAUUGUUAAUGCUGGCUCAACUGGCCAACAACAUGGUAAGUUUUUGAGGAUUUUAUUCAGUGAGAGAAAUGUGCAGGAGAGUGAGGGCUUUGUUUAAAGGAGGAAGGAAAGUUUAUUAGCUAAGUUUGGUCCAUACCAAGCAGAGAGCAGGCCAGGAGACACGUGGAGCAAGCAUUAAGGCAGGAAAGCAGGGAGCAGGUGGCCUGGAGGCUAUGUGCCCCAAAGGCAUGGGGCAACAGGGGCAACAAGUGCAGAAGGGCAAAAGGGCUCUACCAGACAUUUUAAAAAGAACUAAUUUAAAUUCUUCACAAGCUAUUCAAACAAUGGAAAACAAGGAUAUCUUCACAAAUUCCUUUUAUGAAGCCUGCAUCACCAUAAUUCCUUAGCCAGAAAAAGAUACAACAGAGAAAGAGAACUAUAGACCAAUAUCCCUGAUUAACACAGAUGCAAAAAUUCUCAACAAAAUAUUAGCCAAUUGAAUCCAACAACACAUCAUAGAUCAGUCACCGGGACCAAGUGAGAUUUAUUCUUGUAUGCAGGGAUGGUUCAACAUGCAAAAAUUAAUGAUUGUGAUUAAUCACAUUAACAAGCAAAAGACCAAAGACAUGUGAUCUUCUCAAUAGAUGCAGAUAAAGCAUUUGACAAAAUUCAACAUCUUUUUAUGAUGAAAAUGUUAAGCAAAUUGGGUAUAGAAGGAAUAUUCCUCAACAUAAUCAAAGCAAUUUAUUAAAAAAACCCAAAGCCAGCAUGCUACUGAAUGGGAAAAAAUUGGAGGCUUUCACAUUAAGAUCUGGAACCAGAUAAGGAUCCCCACUCUCACCAUUGCUAGUUGAUGUAGUCCUGGAUGAUUUAGCCAGAACCAGCAAGUAAGAAAAAGAAAUCAAAGGGAUACAAAUAGGGAAGAAAGCAGUCAAACUAUCCCUAUUUGCUGAUGACAUGAUUCUAUACACAUGGAGCCCAAAAAAGUCCAUGAAAAUACUAUUGGAACUCAUAAAAGACUUUGGUAAAGUAACAGGAAAUGAAACACAAAAAUCAGCUUUUGUGUACAUACACAACAACAUAAAUGAGAACUUCUAAGAUCAAUCCCAUUCUUAAUAGCUACAAAAAUUUUAUAUACCUAGAAGUAAAUUUAACCCUGAACAUCAAAAAUAUCUAUGAUGAAAAUUUCAAUCUUAUUCAUCUUCUGUAUAUAAAGAUAAUUGAAAAUGAAUCUUGAUGUGAAUGGAAUGGGAGAGGGAACAGGAGAUGGGAGGGGUGUGAGUGGGAGGGAAAUUAUGGGGGGGAAGCCAUUGUAAUCCAUUAACUGUACUUUGGAAAUUUAUGUUUACUAAAUAAAAAAAUAAAAAAAUUCAAAACAUUAAAUAAAGGAAUAGAAGAAGAAAUAAAAAUUGGAAAAUCUUACAUGUUCAUGGAUUGGAAGAAUCAACAUCUUCAAAAUGUCCAUACUACCAAAAGCAAUUUAUAGAUUCAAUGUGAUAUCAAUCAAAAUACCAACAAUAUUCUUCUUAUGUCUACAAACAAUCAUGCUAAAAUUCAUAUAGAUGCACAAGAGACCACAGAUAGCUAAGCAAUCUUUUUUUUAACUUUUAUUUAAUGAAUAUAAAUUUCCAAAGUACGGCUUAUGGAUUACAAUGGUUUCCCCCCCAUAACGUCCCUCCCACCCGCAACCCUCCCCUUUCCCACUCCCUCUCCCCUUCCAUUCACAUGAGGAUUCAUUUUCAAUUCUCUUUAUAUACAGAAGAUCAGUUUAGCAUACAUUAAGUAAAGAUUUCAACAGUUUGCUCCCACACAGAAACAUAAAGUGAAAAAUAAUAGAUGAUUUUUUAAAUGAUGAUGAAAUCAGAUCAGACCUAUUGUCAUGUUUAAUACCAGUGAGAGUCAAGUUGGGAAUUGAUAAUUUCUUCUUUUUUUUUAACAGAAGAUCAGUGUAGUAUACAUUAAGUAAAGAUUUCAACAGUUUGCACCCCCAUAGAAACACAAAGUGAAAUAUACUGUUUGAGUACUCAUUAUAGCAUUAAGCCUCAAUGUACAGCACAUUAAGGACAGAGAUCCUACAUGAGGAGUAAGUGCACAGUGACUCCUGUUGUUGACUUUACAAAUUGACACUCCUGUUUAUGGCAUCAGUAAUCUCCCUAUGCACCAGUCAUGAGUUUCCAAGGCUAUGGAAGCCCCUUGAGUUCUCCGACUCUUAUCUUGU